GUUAUGAUAGAUGCGUAGAUAUAUUUCCUAUCAAUUGAUGCAAAAACCUUUGCGAUCUAUUGAGAAAUGCUCAAGUUAUAAGCGUUUCAAAUCUUGCAUUUUUUCCUACUUGUUCAGUGCCUAGAUUUCCAUUUCACCCCCUAUAUCUUCCGGUUAGACGUAGUCCUACGUCAAAAAUUAUAUUCUUCACGUAAACAAGAGAUGAAAAUGUGGACACUUUUUAGUCAGUGAAUUGUAUGGAGUUCCACUGCUGUGGUGUAAGGUCCGCUAUACACUAUGUGUAGUGCUUGUCUUUUAAGUGUGUUUUUGAUCGGAUUCGUUAUUUUGGGGUAGAUUGGCAGAGUAAUUCUCUUUAUGUCGUCUAUCUCCGGUUGUAGUGUUGUGAUGUCUAGUGUGUAUUUUUUGCGUUUGUGUUUUCGAAGAAUCCUUUCCACAAAUUCCUUCCCGUACCCAUUUGGCCGCUUUGUAAAUAUUUUCUUUUUAUUUCGCAAACUCUUCUUGUUCCAUGGGAACAUUGUAAAGGCGAUGUGCCAUGGAAUGAAAGGCGGCUUGUUUUUGCGCACCAAAAUGGUUGGAAUCGCUCUUUAUAAAACGGUCAGUGGAAGUUGGUUUGCGGUAGAUUUCAAAUUUCAGGGUGUUGUCUUCUUUCCUGGUAAUCUCCAAGUCCAGGAACGGUAAUUUUCCAUCCACCUCUUUUUCACAAGUAAAUGUGAUCGAAUCGUGACGAGAAUUCAGCAUAUCGAGCGUUUUGCCUAGGUAGCGCUCUUUCACCGAUGCAAAAAUGUCGUCUACGUAUCGUCUCCAUGUUCGAGGGAAGAGUUCUUCUUUUUCAAUUUCAAUUUCAACCUCAAAGUCGCACAUGAAUAUAUUCGCCAGAAGAGGUGAAAGUUUACUACCCAUGCUCAAACCAAACGUUUGCUUGUAAAUUUUCCCCCUGAAUGCGAAAAAAUUCUACACACUUCGGCAACAAGAAGGUAAGCCUCAAUGUGAUGAUGUGGCGCACGACUUCGUUCCAAGUGUCGGCGUAGGCUUUUUAAAGCUUCUACGACGGGUACGCUAGGGAAAAGGGCUGCAACAUCUAACGAUACUAAUAUUUCCCCGCGUCUUACCUUAAAUCCUUCGAGCUGUUUGACAAAAUCCACCGAAUUUUUAACGCUUUUCCCGUGGGUUACGGGAUAUUUCUUCAUCUCUUCUACUAACCACCCCGCCAUUUUUUCCGUGGGCGUUCUUAUGUUUGAGGAGAUGGGCCGCAUUCCCACAGGGUUUUUGUGGAUCUUCGGUAGACAGUACAGUAACGCAAUCGUCAGCUUGGGUUUAUUUCAAAAAUUUCUAGAGACUUCACUGAUCCCUACUGCCUGAAGUCGCUUUACAGCUCUCUUGUUCGGCCAAUUCUGGAAACAGUAUCUGUAGUAUGGAACCCUUACCAGCACAUGUGGAGCAACAGGAUUGAACGAAUUCACAAAUGCUUCAUCCGCAGAGCGCUCAGGCAUCUGCCUUGGCGUGAUCCGCGGAACCUACCGCCAUAUACAACUAGAUGUCAAUUGCUGCAUCUGGAUACGCUUGAGCGACGUAGAUGUAUACAGCAAGCCACUUUCGUUGCAAAACUAAUUUUUGGUGGAAUUGAUGCACCUAAUUUGCUCCAGAUGGUGAACUUUCGCGCUUCCAGUCGCAUUCUGCUAUCCUCGUAUUUGCUGCAAACACUCCCGCAUCGUUCAACGUUUGGUCAUCAUGAGCCGAUUACGGGAAUGAUAAGGACAUUUUCGUUAGUAGAGGAAUUUUUCGAUUUUGAAGAGACGUCACUACGCUUCAGAAACAGGAUAGAGAAUUCAGAUGUGCUUAGUGUUAUGUUUUAAUGUGUGUGUGUUUUUUUUACUAUAGGGUUGGGGAAAAAUAAAUGUCGUAUUUCUGAUCGAAAUUUGACGCUUUAUUUAACAUACUUAAAAUUAUCUAAUUUAAGUCAAAUAUGCGCCGUUUUGUUCGCAAACUUGUUGUCAUUUAGAAUGCAAUUUCAUUAUCCCACCCUUAUAAAGCCCACCCUCCUUAUUUGCAAAAAACUCAGACAGCCAGUUUUCGCAAGCCUCUUUUGAGGCCAACUUCGUAUCACCAAGAGCGUUUUGCAUGGACCGGAAAAGAUGAUAAUCACUUCGAGCCAGGUCCGGAGUAUACGGUGGGUGCAAUAGGGCAUCCCAUCCGAGCUCCCGUAGCUUCUGGCGGGUCAUCAAAGAUGUGUGAGGCCGAGCGUUGUUCUGGUGGAAAACAACACAGGGAUGGUGCCCUAUUGAUCAUUUCUUGCCGCUUCUGGUCAAUCGCCUGCUGCAAACGGUCAAGCUGUUCACAGUAAAGAACCGAGUUGAGGGUCUGACCAUAGUUGAGCAGCUCAUAGUGGUUAAUUCUCUUCCAAUCCCACCAAACAUACAGCAAAACCUUCCUGGCCGUCAAUCCGGGCUUGGUGAUGGUUUGGGCCGGCUCACCGCGCUUCGACCACGACUUUUUUCGCUUUAGGUUGUCGUACGUGAUCCACUUUUCAUCACCAGUCCCCAUCUUCUUCAAAAACGGGUCGAGUUCGUUCCGUUUCAGCAGUGCCUCGCAGGCGUUGAUUCGGUCUAAAAGAUUUUUUUGUGUCAACUCGUGUGGCACCCAUACAUACAACUUUUUUUAGAAUCCAAUCUUCUGCAAAUGGUUCCAAAUGAUUUUAUGGUCUAUACCUAGUUCCUGGCCAAUCGAACGAGUGCUCACAUGCCGGUCUAUUUGGAUGAUUUCAACGAUUUUAUCAGUUUCCACGACGAUUGGCCUACCAGUACGGGGUGUAUCUUCGAAAGCCACUACACCAGCACAUAAUCGAUCAAACCAACGCUGCGCUGUGCGAAUCGUUACAGUAUCGGGUCCAUCAGCAGCUAAAAGUCACCUUCUAAAAUUGGAACGAAUUCAAUAUCAUUGUCUGCGUAUAGCUCUCGGCUGUAUGCACUCAACGCAUAACAUGAGUCUCGAGGUUCUAGCAGGAGUAACUCCUCUACAGAACCGAUUCUGGGAACUUUCUCUCAGAAUACUGGUGAAAUGCGGUAUCACGAACACACUUGUGAUUGAAAACUUUGAUAAAAUGCUUCAUCUAAAUAUACAAUCUCGGUUUAUGAGAAUUUAUCAUCACUAUAUUUCAUCAGAUAUUUGUCUUCCAUCGUUUACUCCAGACCGUGCUCACUUCACCAUCAGCAGUUCCUCAAUUGAAUACGAUCUGUCGAUGAAACAAGCAAUACUUGGGAUUUCAGAUCAGCUUCGACCAACUUUCAUUCCCCGUAUUUUUAACCGAAAGUACCAAAAAGUCAAUUGCAUGAAAAGAUACUUCACUGAUGGGUCUCGCCUCAAUGGAUCCACUGGCUUCGGUGUUUUCAAUGAAAAUUCAAGCGCCUUCCGUAAACUGCAGGAACCUUGUUCCGUUUAUGUUGCUGAGCUGGCAGCAAUCGACUUCGCAUUGGGGAUGAUCUCCAACAAGCCUGCAGACCAUUACUUCAUUUUCUCGGAUAGUCUCAGUUCGCUUGAGGCUCUCCAGUCGAUGAAAACUAGUAGGCACCCAUCUUAUUUCCUCACAAAAGUGAGACAGCAGAUGAGUGCACUGAUCGAAAGAUCUUAUAAGUUAACCUUUGUUUGGGUCCCCUCUCAUUGCUCAAUUCCUGGCAAUGAGAAGGCGGACACUCUCGCAAAGGUGGGUGCCCAGGAAGGCGAAUUGUUUGAUAGACAGAUUUCAUACGAUGAAUUUUUCCAAUUACUGCGUCAGAGUUCCCUCUUGAGUUGGCAAACCGAUUGGGACACUGGAAGUCUGGUUAUAUUCAAUUAUUCCAAAGGUUUCUUCGAGAGCGUGGUUCAAAGGUUUGGACUUAAGUCGUGACUUCAUUCGUGUAAUGAGUAGACUUAUGUCCAACCACUACUCGCUAGAUGUGCAUCUCCACAGAAUAAAUCUUGUUCAAAGCAACGUCUGUCGGUGUGGAAACGGUUACGAUGACAUCGAUCACGCAGUUUGGCAAUGUACGGAUAAUUACGCAGCCAGAGAGUACCUUUUGAAUGCCCUUGAGGUCCAAGGAAGACAACCCUAUGUUCCUGUUAGAGACGUGUUGGGAACUCGCGACAUCUGCUAUAUGCAGUUGAUCUAUAUGUUUGUGAAACGGUCUAGUAUAAGUAUUUAAUGCUUUUGUGUUUUUCUUUUUCGUUAUUAGUUUGUUUGUCUUGUCCCCCCAUCUCACCGUCGCCCACCCUCGACAGCUAGUCGAACAGCAGAUGCUAUCCCUGGUCGUUAUGCACAAUGCUACAGUGCGUGCGGCAACCCUCGGUUGAGACAACGAUACCUCAUAUCCAUAUCCCCAACCUGACCCGUCCCACAAAAAUGUUGCCCUUUUAACCUCGAGUAAACCGCGAGUAUUCAGUCGAAUCCUACUAAACAUAGAAAUUAGUUGAAACAUUGUAUAAACAAACCUUGAAUUAGCGGCUCCGCAAAGCUUAUGCGAUUGAGCCUUACAAAUAAAUGAACUGGAUGAAAAAAAAGUAUCGGGUCCAUAAACUACACGAAUUUUUUCGGUCGAUAAACUACACGAAUUUUUUUGGCCGCCUUCGUUGCAGUUUUACCUCGCAGGUAGUAAAAAGUAAAAUAUGGCGAAUUUCUUGCUUGGUAGAUUCCAUAUUUGACGCGCUAUAACUUGAGACUGAAAAGGACAAUCACAACACUGUCAAAACGACACUUGUAGCACAGAUUCGUCUUUAAAUAGCCGUAUAGUAUGACCCGAUUCGAUAAGUACAACACAAGAUAUGUUUAAGUGUUGCCAUAUAUUGACAAUAUACGACAUUUAUUUUUCCCCAACCCAAUACAGGUCGGACUCGAUUAUCCGGAGUAUUGAUUUUUUUUCACUCCGUAUAAUCGAAUCCUCCGGAUAAUCGAGUCAAAACAAUUUUUUUUCUUUAUUUGUUUUUUUUUUGCAUGUAUUUUUCGUUUUUUUGAAAAUAAAAGAGGAAUUUGGUUUUUGAUUCAUCCUCUUAAAGUCAGAAAACACCUUUCUCACAUGAAAAAAAAAUUAAUUUAGAUUCUCUCAGGAGGUGAUAGACGAUCAUAUUUGAUGAAAAAAAUCCUCCUACGCAUAUGUUCGAAUUUCAACAAUGACAGAGUUACAGAACUUUUUUUUGGUUUCAGACUAUGUUGCUUGAAACUGGCUCUACAUUAAAAAGUACGCUACGGAAGACAAUUAUGAUGGUUUCAUUUGAAAGAUGAGAAAAUUUAGUACAGGAUAUAGUAGUGGAACAACUAAAUUAGUGAAUUUUAAAAACAGUUUGGAAGUAAAACACUUAAAAGUUAAUAAUUUUUAAUGUGUUAUUAUUAAUUUUAUCCUAAAAAUUUAUAUUAAACUAGAUUGUUUCUAUCAAUUAAAAUGAAGUUCUUUAACCGCUCCACAAUUUGUUCUUUGACACACAACUUCUAUCUUUCUUAAUUUGGCUGCAAUAUAGAUAUAAUCAAUUCCUGGUGAAAAUUCAAGCAAAAUUUUCAAAAAUCACGAUUUUUACCCCACUGUACAUGUAAUAGCCACUUAAACUUCACCUUAAGGUUGAAAGGUUACAUUUAUUCAUGAAAUAAGCUAUAUUUCAAAUAUAAAAAAAAAAAUCCAAACUGAAUAUAAUCGAGUCAAAAAUUGUAUAUAAUCGAAUCACAUAUAAUCUAGUCUAUAUAUAAUCGAGUCCAACCUGUACUGUAUUCUAUUAGUCAAAUCAUUUCAUUUGACACCAAUAUUGCAAAUUGCAAAAAAUACAUAGUCGACCAUUUUGUGGCGGCGACCUUUUCGAAUUUACGUUGUUCAUAGUGUAGUGUAUUCUCCAAAUCAAGCCAUUCUGCCAUUUUUUUGCGGCGGCCAAAUUGAAUUUUUCAAGAUCAUGGAAUACGCAGUUUUAUAAUGACAGUAGAAUUAAAUGUAUGUUCCAAAUUUCAGAUCAAUCAUUCAACAGGAACGGGGUCAAUUUUCUAUUAAUGUGGGACAACCCAACAAACAUUCAAACAUACAUAGAAACAGGUCAAGCUGAAUGAAACCAUUCAAAAAGUAAUUAGUUGUUUGGGGACUGCGGGCAUCUUGAAAUUGGAUUUUUAAUUAUCUGCUAUGUUCUACUAGUCGAGAACUUUCUUUUGAUACAUUUUUGGACAUUUUUCAUAAAUAACUGUGUUCUACUAGUCAAGCCUUUUCAUUUGAUACCCAUAUUGAUAGGGUUCUGGGAAAAUAGGUAAUCCGCCAUUUUGUAGUGGUCGCCAUCAUAGAUUUGCAUUUUUCAUAAAUAACUGUAUUCUACUAGUCAAGCCCUUUCAUUUGAUACCCAUAUUAAAGGGGUUGUGAAAAAAAUAUAUAUGGCGCCAUUUUGUGGUGGUGGCCAUUUUGGAUUUUAAUUUUUCAUAAACAACUGUAUUCUUCUAGUCAAGUCUUUUCAUUUGAUACCCAUAUUGAUGGGGUUGUGAGAAAAUAUGUAAUCCGCCAUUUUGUAGUGGCCGCCAUCUUAGAUUUGCAUUUUUCACGAAUAACUGUAUUCUACUAGUCAAGCCCUUUCAUUUGAUACCCAUAUUGAUGGGGUUGUGAAAAAAAUAUAUAUGGCUCCAUCUUGCGGUGGCGACCAUUUUGGAUUUGCAUUUUUCAUAAAUAACUGUGUUCUACUAGUCAAGCCCUUUCAUUUGAUACCCAUAUUGAUGGGGUUCUGAGAAAAUAUGUAAUCCGCCAUUUUGUAGUGGCCGUCAUCUUGGAUUUGCAUUUUUCAUAAAUAACUGCAUUCUACUAAUCAAGCCCUUUCUUUUGAUACUUCCGGAUAAUCGAGUCCGACCUGUAUUUGUAAUUAUCUUACUUCAUUAAGGCGAUGCUGUCAGAUGAACUUUAAUUUAAACAAAUAAACAAAUUAACAAAAAACCAUGGAUAACAGCUAUUACAACCAUCCUCCUUAGGGGCUUUGAACCCUCUGCUCUGGUUCUCAACUGUUAAAGGCAGAGCUGCAAUCCAUCACCGUCAAUGUCACAAAAAAGCUGACCAUAGUCACUCAAAUCCUCUCACGGCACGUGAUAUCCAAAUAUUCAGUAGUGAUACUCACUAUUUUGUUUCUGACACCUAACCAAAUGACGGUUGGUUCCAAUGCCUCUCACUGCCGAUCGCUCUGUUUACAACUUUACGUUACGAGAGCGGUGGUUGUGGCGUAUGAUGGUAGUAGAAAUGUGAGUGAUCAGACAGUUCCAAUCAUUCUUGACAAUCGCGACGGUUGUUUAGAUUCGUUUAUUCGAUUAUCGAUUAAUCGUGGGGCCAAUAUUCGAUUCAUUCGAACAAUUGUCUUUCAGUAUUCGAUUAAUCGAGCGAAUAUUUAUUUCUUGUAGUUAAAAUGAACAGACAUAUAUAAUAAAAAAUAUUAUGGUGUCAUGAUUUUAAAAAUUACAUUAAAUAUAAUUUUCAAAUGAACAUGGUGCAGCAUAAUGGUUUUUGAAUGAAAUGGUAUUUAAGUAUAUUGAUAAAUUUACCAUUUCAUAAUUAUUUUGCGGAUCAUGAAAACGAACCGAUCGAAAACCGACAAUGCGUGUUUUUUUUUAUUUUGUGUUAAUCAUUACCAGAACUAUUGAAGUUUAGUUAAUAAACGUGUGAUGAACACAAAAAUUUAAUUUUUUCAUAAAACGAAAGAAAAUUGCGAUCUCGAAGAAUCGCUUAAAAAUCAUCCACUUGCAUUGAGGCUUUAUUGAAAAACUUCUUAUACCGUGUCAUUAACUGCGCCACGAACAAUUCCAGAUGGAAUAUAUGUUUGCUUCCUUGUUGCAUCCGGUGUUCAUAGUACCCGGCAAAAUUCAACAAUUUUCAAGGAAUGUGCUGAAAUGCAAAUAGUGUUGUUACAUUCAAGAAACAAACAAAUGACAAUCUUACAUAGAAAAUUUUAAGAAUAUCCUCCUAAGAUAGAGCCGGCACUCUUACUCAAGCAACGACUCCUAACCGCGGGGAUAACCCGCGAAGUAGAAUUGGCGCACAAAAUCAAUCUGCACGUAGACAAAUACUUUUCAAUGGUUCUUCUCAGCGCAUCCUGGGUAUCUUUGAUCAGCUAAUCCACUUCGGACAAGACGAGUCUCAUAUUCCCUCUACCCACUGGGAUCAAUUUGCUUGAUCAAAUUCGACACGACCACCCUGUUAUAUAUCACGGCAACCGAUGAAUUCAACUCGAUGUGGUAAUUACUGCUGAUGCUCCUGAUUUCCACCUUCCGGUUCGAGGGCGUUGUGAAAUUCAUUAUCUCAUUGCGUAGCCGUUCCGCGCCCGGUUGGUAAAGUUUCCGCAGCAGACACAUGAUGCGAGUUUUGUUACUGGCCUGGAAGGGCCGUAGAACAUGCGGGAAGUCUCCCUGGGAGCAAAGAUUGAUCAGAUGCGUAACUUGCGUUUUGUGGUAGUCCAGUUUGGAUAGCUGGCGCGGUCGGUAGCGGUCAACCCAGAGAGCCAUUGUACAUAAAAAUAUUUGAUGUAUAAUGUAUACAAAAAUACUUGGUGACUUGUUGUUUUCGUGUUGGCCUUUGUCAAAGUAAAUGUCAUCACCUCCAGAGUAAAUAAAGAGUAGAAAUGCCAUAUCCCUGCAGCUUGCAACUGAAAAUAUAAGUCUGCAACAGGAUAGGCAGGACAUCAAACAUCAGUAAAAUUGCGAAUAUGUCUACAAAUUUAGCAUCGUUGCAACGAUGAGAAACAAAUUUGGUAAAAAAAAUCGAAGUCGAACGUGUUUCAAAAUGCAUCAUUUUGCUAAUUUCAAACCCGAUCGGGAUCCGCAAUAGAGGGGAUAAUCAAGGCGUGUCAUUCCACAAACUAAGUACUAAUACAAAUGACACGUGUAAUACUACGUAGAGUCGGCGAAGUGCCACUAAAAACAUUAAGGCCAUCUGAAAAGAUGAAAAGAAAAUACAUGCCUGAAAAUACAAUAUUCUUCAAAUUGUAUUUAAAAUGAAACUGUAUAUUCACAUCUGGCAUCCCUGGCCGUAAAGAACGAACACAAAGAGGCGAAUGUUGUGAAUAUCGCCAAACACCAAACCAUCAGCUAGACUUUUGAGUGUCGCACUAUUCUGACAUUUCAGCAACAGGACACUCACCAAAGAGCUCGGAUUUCUACUGUCAAGUAAAAGCUCACCAUGUGUUAGUGUUGUGAUAAUACUCUUCUCACACUAUUGAACUGGCUUUGAGAUGGUCACCAAAGAUAAUCGUCGUACAAAAUUUGUUGAUUAUCUUUGUGUGAGUACCAUCACUUGAUUCUCACGACAAAUCGCAGCUCUGGUUAAAGGGUUCUUUAUCAGCGCCAGCUUAUACGCAGAUUUGUGUGAUUUCACUAGCCUGUUUUCAAAGCAAUUUACAAGCUUUUGGAACAAGUUUCCGGGUCAAUAAUUAACAAGCUUGGACAUUUUGUUUUCCGAUUGAAGUGAUUAUCAUACCACUCCGUUCAGCCGGCAAGAAGGAAAAGUUCAUUGAAACAUAUUUGACGAAAUCCAGCUGUGUUGAGGAGCCUUGUCCAAGCGCUGCUGAUGUAGCGGAAGUUCAACGUGAAGUACGGUGCUUCACUUUAGCAUCCCAUUUAUUCUGGAGCUUGUGGGCUAU